rnacentral:siRNA from 1 species
CAUUGCUUUCUGGAAGUACCG